rnacentral:rRNA from 1 species
CUGAUUGAACGUGCUUGCACGGACUUGACGUUGGUUUACCAGCGAGUGGCGGACGGGUGAGUAACACGUAGGUAACCUGCCCCAAAGCGGGGGAUAACAUUUGGAAACAGAUGCUAAUACCGCAUAACAAUUUGAAUCGCAUGAUUCAAAUUUAAAAGAUGGCUUCGGCUAUCACUUUGGGAUGGACCUGCGGCGCAUUAGCUUGUUGGUAGGGUAACGGCCUACCAAGGCUGUGAUGCGUAGCCGAGUUGAGAGACUGAUCGGCCACAAUGGAACUGAGACACGGUCCAUACUCCUACGGGAGGCAGCAGUAGGGAAUCUUCCACAAUGGGCGCAAGCCUGAUGGAGCAACACCGCGUGAGUGAAGAAGGGUUUCGGCUCGUAAAGCUCUGUUGUUAGAGAAGAACGUGCGUGAGAGCAACUGUUCACGCAGUGACGGUAUCUAACCAGAAAGUCACGGCUAACUACGUGCCAGCAGCCGCGGUAAUACGUAGGUGGCAAGCGUUAUCCGGAUUUAUUGGGCGUAAAGCGAGCGCAGGCGGUUUGAUAAGUCUGAUGUGAAAGCCUUUGGCUUAACCAAAGAAGUGCAUCGGAAACUGUCAGACUUGAGUGCAGAAGAGGACAGUGGAA